rnacentral:rRNA from 1 species
CCUACGGGUGGCUGCAGUGGGGAAUAUUGGACAAUGGGCGAAAGCCUGAUCCAGCCAUGCCGCGUGUGUGAAGAAGGCCUUCGGGUUGUAAAGCACUUUCAGUGGGGAAGAAAGCCUUGGGGCUAAUACCCUCGAGGAAGGACAUCACCCACAGAAGAAGCACCGGCUAACUCCGUGCCAGCAGCCGCGGUAAUACGGAGGGUGCGAGCGUUAAUCGGAAUUACUGGGCGUAAAGCGCGCGUAGGCGGUCUGAUAAGCCGGUUGUGAAAGCCCCGGGCUCAACCUGGGAACGGCAUCCGGAACUGUCAGGCUAGAGUGCAGGAGAGGAAGGUAGAAUUCCCGGGGGAGCGGUGAAAUGCGUAGAGAUCGGGAGGAAUACCAGUGGCGAAGGCGGCCUUCUGGACUGACACUGACGCUGAGGUGCGAAAGCGUGGGUAGCAAACAGGAUUAGAUACCCUUGUAGUC